UUCUUCUUCAGUAAACGC
rnacentral:snRNA from 1 species